rnacentral:rRNA from 1 species
GAUGAACGCUGGCGGCGUGCCUAAUACAUGCAAGUCGAGCGAACAGACGAGGAGCUUGCUCCUCUGACGUUAGCGGCGGACGGGUGAGUAACACGUGGAUAACCUACCUAUAAGACUGGGAUAACUUCGGGAAACCGGAGCUAAUACCGGAUAAUAUAUUGAACCGCAUGGUUCAAUAGUGAAAGACGGUUUUGCUGUCACUUAUAGAUGGAUCCGCGCCGCAUUAGCUAGUUGGUAAGGUAACGGCUUACCAAGGCAACGAUGCGUAGCCGACCUGAGAGGAGGAUCGGCCACACUGGAACUGAGACACGGUCCAGACUCCUACGGGAGGCAGCAGUAGGGAAUCUUCCGCAAUGGGCGAAAGCCUGACGGAGCAACGCCGCGUGAGUAAUGAAGGUCUUCGGAUCUUAAAACUCUGUUAUUAGGGAAGAACAAAUGUGUAAGUAACUAUGCACGUCUUGACGGUACCUAAUCAGAAAGCCACGGCUAACUACGUG